rnacentral:rRNA from 1 species
GACGAACCGUGCGAACGUUAUUCGGAAUCACUGGGCUUAAAGGGCGCGUAGGCGGGCUGUCAAGUCUGGGGUGAAAUCCCACGGCUCAACCGUGGAACUGCCUCAGAUACUGACGGCCUCGAGGGAGGUAGGGGCAUGCGGAACUGUAGGUGGAGCGGUGAAAUGCGUUGAUAUCUACAGGAACUCCGGUGGCGAAAGCGGCGUGCUGGACCUUCUCUGACGCUGAGGCGCGAAAGCCAGGGGAGCAAACGGG